rnacentral:rRNA from 1 species
AGUGAACGCUGGCGGCAGGCCUAACACAUGCAAGUCGAACGGCAGCACAGUAAGAACUUGCUCUUAUGGGUGGCGAGUGGCGGACGGGUGAGGAAUACAUCGGAAUCUACUCUUUCGUGGGGGAUAACGUAGGGAAACUUACGCUAAUACCGCAUACGACCUACGGGUGAAAGCGGAGGACCUUCGGGCUUCGCGCGAUUGAAUGAGCCGAUGUCGGAUUAGCUAGUUGGCGGGGUAAAGGCCCACCAAGGCGACGAUCCGUAGCUGGUCUGAGAGGAUGACCAGCCACACUGGAACUGAGACACGGUCCAGACUCCUACGGGAGGCAGCAGUGGGGAAUAUUGGACAAUGGGCGCAAGCCUGAUCCAGCCAUGCCGCGUGGGUGAAGAAGGCCUUCGGGUUGUAAAGCCCUUUUGUUGGGAAAGAAAAGCAGUCGGUUAAUACCCGAUUGUUCUGACGGUACCCAAAGAAUAAGCACCGGCUAACUUCGUGCCAGCCGCCGCAGUAA